GACGAACUGCGCAAACGUUAUUCGGAAUUACUGGGCUUAAAGGGUGCGUAGGCGGCCAGGAAGGUGGGGUGUGAAAUCCCUCGGCUUAACCGAGGAACUGCGCUCCAAACCACUUGGCUUGAGUAAGGCAGGGGUGAGCGGAACUAAUGGUGGAGCGGUGAAAUGCGUUGAUAUCAUUAGGAACACCGGUGGCGAAGGCGGCUCACUGGGCCUUUACUGACGCUGAGGCACGAAAGCUAGGGGAGCGAACGGG
rnacentral:misc_RNA from 1 species